GGUGUAUGGACCGAGAUUAGUCUUCCUUGAUGAAGUCAAAGUGAUCUGGAAAGAUCUACCAUAGAAGGUGAUAGUCCUGUAGACGUAAAUCAAGAAGAAUGUUCUCGUGUCCUGAGUAGUACUGGUUGAGAAUCCAGUGCGAAUAUGGGAGGCAUAAACUUCCAAAACUAAACACAACUCAAGACCGAUAGCGCAUUAGUACGGUGACGGAAAGUUGAAAAGUCCCCCGAGAGGGGUGUCAAAAGUGCCUGAAAUCACACAGUUACAGACGGUUAGGGCGUGAAAGGGUCGAAGCUGCAGAACGAAUACGUGGUAACACGUAAUUAGGGUGCAGUGGACCAGCGUUCUAUGUUCCGUUUCGAAUCACGGACCGGGGAGUUCACUAAUGUGGCGAGACUAAGAUAUUAUCGUAAUCUCAGGGAAACCAAAGUGCGGGCAGCCUUAGGGCGAGCCGCUGGGUCUGAAUAGGGCCCGGAGUCACGUGAGUGAGACUAGAAACCAGGUGAUCUUUUCCUGAACAGGGUGAAGUCAGCCGAAAGGCUGAUGGAGGCCCGCAAUAGUAUUGAUAUGCAAUUCAUUUAUCUGAUUUGGGAAAAGGGGCAAUAGACCAAUCUAACCUGGUGAUAGCUAGUUCCUUCCGAAGUAUGUCGCAGCAUAGCCUCGAGUGAGACUGCUUGCGGGGUAGAGCACUAAUCGGGUGGCACGGACGAGAAAUCGUUCACCAACCUUUUAAACUCCGAAUACGCAAGCGUCGAAGAACUCGGGAGACGGGAUGCAGUGGUUAAGCUACUGCUCCGGGAGGGGGACAACCCAGACUAAGGUUAAGGCCCCUCAAUCCUGGCUAAGUGAUAAAUCAAAGGGCGUCGUAAUGCUAAGACAGCGGGGAGGUAAGCUUAGAAGCAGCUAUCCUUUAAAGAAAUCGUUACAGAUCACCCGCCGAGGAUUGGGGCCCCGAAGAUGGACGGGUCUCAAGCCAGGUGCCGAUACCUUAGGCAAUUAAAAAUUUGUGGUAGGAAGGCGUCCCGCAUGGGUGGAAGCAAGGGGGUGACCUCUUGUGGACCGUGCAGGGAUUGCAGAUCCCGGUGGUAGUAACAGCAUAGUCGGGUGAGAAUCCCGAUCGCCGAAAGAGCAAGGGUUUCUAGGCAAUGCGUCGUCAGCCUAGAGUUAGCCGAUCCUAAGUUGAGCGUUAACAUGACUCAUCGAAAGGGAAACUGGUUAAUAUUCCAGUGCUAUGGAAGUACACGAGGUAACUCAAAGCCUCAUAAUCGACAGUUCGGGGAAGGUCAAGCAGAGUUGUCGCUCUGUUUAAAUGUAUAAUUCCAGGGAGUACCGUAAUGGUGAGAACUGGAAGAAAGCAUGAAUAGUCCUCCGUUAGGAGGAUUUGGCUGUACCCUGGAUUCCGUGAAAAUUUUAUGAGGAUGGAUCUUCCAUAUUCGUACCCAGAACCAACACAGGUGCUCAGGGUGAGUAGCCCAAGGCGUGUCGGGGAAAAUCUAAGCGAGGGAAUUCGGCAAAUUAGCUCCGUAUCUUCGGUAUAAGGAGUGCCUGCUGUCUUUUCGAAAGAUGGGAUGGCAGGUCGCAGUGACAAGGGGGUUCCGGCUGUUUAAUAAAAACAUAGGUAACCGCAAGCCCGUAAGGGUGUGUACGGUUAUUGAAUCCUGUCCAGUGGUGGUACCUGAAUCCUGAUUUCAACCGGGUGAAGGGCCGCUAAACGACGGGAGUAACUCUGACUCUCUCAAGGUAGCCAAAUGCCUUGUCGUGUAAGUUACGACGUGCAUGAAUGGAUCCACGAGGACCCCACUGUCCCCGCUUAGACCCCGGUGAACCCACCUGCUGGACGAACAGUCCAGCGACUUCCAGUGGAACAAGAAGACCCCGUGGAGCUUUACUGCAGUCAGUUGUUGGAAAGCGGUUACUUUUGCAGAGCGUAUAUAGGAGCCAGUGAGUACGUAUCUCUGGGUACGUAGGAGGCAACAAUGGAACACUACACAUUUGCGACUACUUUCCUUACCAAGACCUUAGCUGUCUGGGACACCGGCUGAUGGGCAGUUCGGCUGGGGCGGCACCCCCUUGAAAAGGAAUCGAGGGGGCCCAAAGUCUAGCUCAGGAGGGACAGAAACCCUUCGUAGAGUGUAAAGGCAAAAGCUAGAUUGAUCGGAUAUCUAACAAUAGGAUUUCCGAAGGUGAAAGCCAGGCUUA
rnacentral:rRNA from 1 species